AGAGUUUGAUCCUGGCUCAGGAUGAACGCUAGCUACAGGCUUAACACAUGCAAGUCGAGGGGAAACGACAUCGAAAGCUUGCUUUUGAUGGGCGUCGACCGGCGCACGGGUGAGUAACGCGUAUCCAACCUGCCCACCACUUGGGGAUAACCUUGCGAAAGUAAGACUAAUACCCAAUGACGUCUCUAGAAGACAUCUGAAAGAGAUUAAAGAUUUAUCGGUGAUGGAUGGGGAUGCGUCUGAUUAGCUUGUUGGCGGGUAACGGCCACCAAGGCGACGAUCGAGUAGGGGUUCUGAGAGGAACGUCCCCGACAUUGGAACUGAGACACGGUCCAAACUCCUACGGGAGCA
rnacentral:rRNA from 1 species